rnacentral:lncRNA from 1 species
CCCCAGUCCCCCACCCCUUUUAUUUUGAAGGAAGAUUAGCCCUGAGCUAACAUCUGCUUCCAAUCCUCCUCUUUUUUUUGCUGAGGAAGACAGGCCCUGAGCUAACAUCCGUACCCAUCUUCCUCUACUUUGUAUGUUGGAUGCCUGCCAUAGCAUGCUUGACAAGCGACAUGCCUCUUAUUAAAUGCCUGAUUGCUUGCACUGUAGACCUCAUUCAGGGAGCCCACCUACAUCACUGCCUCCUGCAAUGACACACGACUGUUAACUGCACUGAGCAAUGUUGAAGACUAAAGAUUAAUUCAAUGAAAUAGUGGAACAAAAUACCAGCUCAACUUGUAAUAUAUGAAACUUCCAGGGAAGUGCACCCCAGGAGGCAGGAGAAAGGGUCACCAAGAGCACGGGGAUGGACAGGAACACAGGGGUGUUCUAGAAAAGCUGGCCCACCCUGAGUUCUGAACUGCCACACUGGAUCCUACUCCAUGGCCUCAGUCCCUGUGCAGGCUCAGCUCUCAGACGGAGGCCUGGAGCGGCAGAGGAAGUGGUCCCAGGGGCUCAGCUGGAUGGACAGUGGCAGAGCUGGCCUUUGACCGCACGCCCCUCCCCCCUGUCCCCCUGGGCUGGCCUCUCAUCACGUGCCCGUGUCACCCUGCCCGGCCCUGCCCCGCCCCAGGUCAUCACCAUCUUCAGCCUGGUGGAGGUAGUGCUGCAGGCGGAGGACGCGGCCCUCAAGUACAGCGCCAUCCUGAAGCGGCCGGGCACCGAGGGCCUCCUGGGCCUGCAGGACGAGGAGGAGUGUGACCACGACCAGCAGGAGGACUGAGGCUGCGAGCCUGGCCACACCCCACCCAGCGACGUACCAACCUCCCCCACUGGCUUUUAGGAAUAAGACCUUUGCACACCAAAGGGGAUUUUUAAUUUGGUUUUUAACAACUCAGGGUUUUGUUUUUAUUUUUUCCUUUUACUUCAUUUUUGCUGCUCAGUUUUUAACGAACUGGAUGGGAGCGGGUGGGGCUGGACGGAAGGCUGGGGCCUGGCCAGUGCUCCUGGGAGGCCAGCCCCACUUCUGCCAGGCCACCACUGCCUUCCCCUGCCCAGGAAGCCAGGGGUUUUCAGCGAAUCAGUGUCAUGGAAUAAAAUCAAGUGCGAAGCGC